UCUCGAUAGCGUAAAAGUUAACUCAAAUUUGUAUGAAGUUCGAACGUUUGCUUACGUUUGCCGCUAAGGGUGUUGUAACAACUCCAUACAAAUUUGAGUUAACUUUUACGCUAUUGA
rnacentral:pre_miRNA from 9 species